UCCAUCACAAAAGUUAAGAAAUCUGCAGCAACUCAAAAGCUAUAUUAGGAAUCGAACCUUAAGUCGUCUUUUGCCAAUGGCCUCAUGCUGCUGGACGCAUUUCCAAGUUUUAAGCGACCAAAACGAUUUAAAUACGGGUAUA